AGUAAGUGCCGAACGUUGGGUGUGAGUUUGAGCAUGGAAAUAGCUUUCAGCAUCUUACAAGUGUCUGCCGGUCAGCUGGUACCACUUGGAAACUGAGUUGCUGCCUAUUUUCCGAGGAGAUGAGGUCUUCCCACUCACAGAUUCCACAAGGCCAUUUUGGUCAAGAAAGUACACACCGACAUUGUAGCAAAAUGGCGACUGUCAUCCACAACCCCCUGAAAGCGGUUUCGGGCUUCCGGGAGAACAUGGCGGACAGAUAACAGCAGCUACAGAGGUUCUCUGAAAGACCCGGCUCAGAAGUCAGGAAUGGUGUGGAGUAAGGAGACAUAAGCGGGUGGAGAUAUACUCUGCUGACCCAGGAACGAACUGGGCUGAGAGAAACCAACUUGGAAUGCAGUCCUGGUGCUAGAACAGGAACAGAAAAGCCUCACUGUGGAGGCUGGAGUCUGCGCCAUUGGAAGCCGCGAUUUGGGUUUCCCGCCGCGCGGCGGCUGCCUCUACAUCGGCUCGGCAAGGAGAGAGACACGCGGAAGCUCUGAGAAUGGGAAUCUGUGAACGGAGUCGAAAACAGGACGGGCAGCGAGGCGUGCACUGACUUGUGGUGAGGUGAGUGAGAGAAACUGACACUCUACCACAGUUUGACUCCAGCGGAGGACAUUCUGGGACUGGACAGACUUGCGGGAGCAGGGCGCGGUGGCGACUUCAGCCACAAAUGCCCCUCUCAGGCAGGAUUGGUGAGAAGUGCCUAGCCUACGUGACACUGCUGGCGGACCCAGUAGGCUGGCCCAACCCAGAUCCCAGAGCCUGACGGUGGCCUUGAGGGGCGGCCCCGCGUAGGCUGCCUGUCUGGAACUUCCUGGUGCACUGCGGUGGGCGGGAACACCUAACCGGCGCAAUUCAAUCAGACUGAGGCUGACAGGGAAAGAAGCUGGGUCUCCUAUAUACGCUUGCAUAUAUAAGGAACAAAGAAUAUGGGGAGAGGCAGCAACAAGAAAGGCUCCUCGGCCCCCAAUCCUGAGAAACAGGUAAUAGCGGACACCGCACCAAUAGACAUAAAGCACCACCUAGAGAGCCUCAUAGAUCAGUUCAGGAAUGAAGUUAUCAAUGACCUGAAGCUAGAAGUAAGCAGAAUAGUUAGAGAAAUGCUAAGCACCACCCAAGAAAAAACAGAUGGUAGAAUGGAAGAACAGAAAAAGAGGGGAGAAUUGUUUGAUGGAGAAAAUAGAGAAAGCAUAGAAUACGUGAAGCAGGUUCAAAGGGACUACCAGGAAACUAAAAACUCUAUCGAAAACUGGCAUAACAGCUUGAAAGAAACUAAAGACAGACUAUCUGAACUGGAGGGCAGAUUUGUAAUAUGGGAGCAUGAAAUGAAAAACUUCUUAAAAAUAAAAAGAAACAAACAGCAAUAAUACAAAGACAAGAAGAUGAUAAGAGGAUCCAUAACUUAAGAAUUAAGAACAUAAAAGAAGAAGUAGGGACACAAUCAAAUGAACUACAAAAGCUACUCACAGAAAUAAUCCAGGAGAAUUUUCCUAAUUUAGCAAAAGGUAAAGAUACUCAGAUAUAUGAGGCAUACAGGACCCUAGCCACCUACAACCCAAACAGAGCAACACCCAGGCAUAUAAUAAUAAAAAUUCCAGAAAUUCAAUACAAGAACAGAAUAUUAAAAGCUGUCAGAGACAAGAAACAGACCACUUACAAGGGAACACCCAUCAGAAUUACAGCAGAUUUCUCUGCACAAACCAUCAAAUCACAAAGAGCGUGGGGGGGGAAUAAUUCAAGCUUUGAAAGAUAAUAAUCUCCAGCCAAGAUUGAGAUAUCCUGCACAACUGUCCCUGGAAAUUGAUGGAAAAACAAGGUGCUUCCAGGAUAAAGAGGAACUGGGGGAAUUUGCAACCACCAAUUCAACUCUAUAGAGAGUAUUGCAGGAUAUUCUAAAAAAAGAAAAAUACAAAGAAUCCAGAAAUAGUGGCGGGGAGGCCACAAUGAAUGGAGCAGAGAACAAAAUGAAGAAGACAAACUGACUACUAAUGACAGAAAAAGAGCUCAACAGAAAUGAGGCAGAGAAGAUUGGAUGAUAGGAACAGCUAUUUUGGAGAAAAUGAUGUCUUAAUAGGAAGUUACUGAGCAAAGUGAGGUCCACCCUUCUAAGAGGGGGCCAAGGCAGACACCUCGAUGAGUUCCUGAAGGACUACUGAACCUGAAACUGCCUGGGAAAGUGAAGCCUGAGGAAAUGUGACCAGGAUGUGCCAACUGGUGGGAGGGAGCACCUGAGUUAACUGCGGGGCCAGAGAACGGCCAAGAAUAAGUUUACCUGCUGUAUUGGACAGGUGUCAUCUCUGACAUACUUCACGAAGCAUGAAGCCGAGACAAAGGUGAUUUCCGCCUUCUUGUGGUGUUGCUGUUUGCACUUAAUGGCAGGGUGCUCUGAGGCUGGCAGGGCGAGAAGAAGGAUGUGGCCAUGAUCUGGAUCCCUGGGGCUCAGGCCAGGUGACCUUCAGUGGAGCACAGUCUGUGCACACCCAGGCCCCCAGGCCCAUCUCCUGGUAUCCUUCUCACAGAGGAAGAACACACUGGGCUUCUCCAGGGAAAGGUCCUAGCAACUGGGACUGCCUAAUGGUUCUGCAAUUGUUUUCCUUCUGGUUGUGUAUCACUUUAUUUUCUUUUAAUUUUUAAAUUUUAUUUUAAAGAGAAUAAAACUGAUCAAAAUAAAACAAAAUAAAGCCAAUCAAGACAAACCAGUGUAAGUUACACAGGACUUCAAAACAACACAAAAUCAACAAUGACUACCAUAAUGCAUCUUCAGAAUAGCUGCAGACACCUGUAAACAUCAAACAAAAAAGAACAGAACCAGUAAAAACAAAACAAUGAAUGCAAUAAAGGACUUCAAAACAAGACAAUAGUAAAUCCAAAAUGGCUCCCAUAAUAUAUCUUGCUGUCUUUUAACUAGCUGCCUGUGCCAUCGGAUAUAACAAAAUCAAACAAAUCAAAACAGAAUAAAAACUAGCCCAACAAAACAAUGAAAA